rnacentral:rRNA from 1 species
GAUGAACGCUAGCGGCAGGCCUAAUACAUGCAAGUCGAACGAUAGUUGGGGCUUGCUCCAACGAAAAGUGGCGCACGGGUGCGUAACGCGUAUGCAACCUACCUUAAUCAGGGGGAUAGCCCGAAGAAAUUCGGAUUAACACCGCAUAAAAACACAGGAUAGCAUUAUCCAAUGUUCAAAUAUUUAUAGGAUUAAGAUGGGCAUGCGUGUCAUUAGUUAGUUGGCGGGGUAACGGCCCACCAAGACCACGAUGACUAGGGGAUCUGAGUGGAUGACCCCCCACACUGGUACUGAGACACGGACCAGACUCCUACGGGAGGCAGCAGUAAGGAAUAUUGGUCAAUGGAGGCAACUCUGAACCAGCCAUGCCGCGUGCAGGAAGACAGCCCUCUGGGUCGUAAACUGCUUUUAUUCGGGAAUAAACCUUUCUACGUGUAGAAAGCUGAAUGUACCGAAGGAAUAAGGAUCGGCUAACUCCGUGCCAGCAGCCGCGGUAAUACGGAGGAUCCAAGCGUUAUCCGGAUUUAUUGGGUUUAAAGGGUGCGUAGGCGGCUUAUUAAGUCAGGGGUGAAAGACGGUGGCUCAACCAUCGCAGUGCCUUUGAUACUGAUGAGCUUGAAUGGACUAGAGGUAGGCGGAAUGUGACAAGUAGCGGUGAAAUGCAUAGAUAUGUCACAGAACACCGAUUGCGAAGGCAGCUUACUAUGGUUUAAUUGACGCUGAGGCACGAAAGCGUGGGGAUCAAACAGGAUUAGAUACCCUGGUAGUCCACGCCCUAAACGAUGAAUACUCGCUGUUAGCGAUACACAGUUAGCGGCUAAGCGAAAGCGUUAAGUAUUCCACCUGGGGAGUACGCCCGCAAGGGUGAAACUCAAAGGAAUUGACGGGGGCCCGCACAAGCGGAGGAGCAUGUGGUUUAAUUCGAUGAUACGCGAGGAACCUUACCCGGGCUUGAAAGUUAGUGAAUCAUCCAGAGAUGGAUGAGUGAGCAAUCACACGAAACUAGGUGCUGCAUGGCUGUCGUCAGCUCGUGCCGUGAGGUGUUGGGUUAAGUCCCGCAACGAGCGCAACCCCUAUGUUUAGUUGCCAGCACGUUAAGGUGGGGACUCUAAACAGACUGCCUGUGCAAACAGAGAGGAAGGAGGGGACGACGUCAAGUCAUCAUGGCCCUUACGUCCGGGGCUACACACGUGCUACAAUGGAUGGUACAGAGGGCAGCAAGCUGGCAACAGCAAGCGAAUCUCAAAAAGCCAUUCACAGUUCGGAUAGAGGUCUGCAACUCGACCUCUUGAAGUUGGAUUCGCUAGUAAUCGCGUAUCAGCAAUGACGCGGUGAAUACGUUCCCGGGCCU